rnacentral:rRNA from 1 species
GACGUAGGUGGCGAGCGUUGUUCGGAAUCACUGGGCAUAAAGCGCACGUAGGCGGCCAAGUCAGUCAGGUGUGAAAUACCUCGGCUCAACCGAGGAACUGCGCCUGAUACUGCUUGGCUUGAGGUCCGGAGGGGAGAGUGGAAUUCCCGGUGGAGCGGUGAAAUGCGUAGAGAUCGGGAAGAACGCCGGCGGCGAAAGCGACUCUCGUGGUCGAAUCUGACGCUGAGGUGCGAAAGCUAGGGGAGCAAACGGG